rnacentral:lncRNA from 1 species
AUGAUAGAAAAGUGCAAUAAGAUUAAAGCAGGAAUAUAUUAGAACUAAUAUAAUUUUGAUGAAAAAAGGACAGUAUUUAUUUCUAAAACUAAAAUGGUGAGAUUAAGACCAUAGUGAGUGAAGGUUUGAGUUCAUACAUAAGAAAGUCUUACUUAUAGGCAGCAAUGAUCAUGAAAGAAAAUGGACAUUUCAAAACAUCUCAUGAGAUUUACCUAUGCAUAUUUAUCACUUCAUACAAAUACAAAAUCAUCAGAACACUUGAGAAUACAGCGUUUGUGUGCCAAAGGAAAUUUAACUAUUUCGAGCCGAAAGCAUUUGCUCUAAACUUUACCAUGGAUGCUGCCUCUUUAACACCUUGUGGAUGGAUGAAGGGGAAGAAGGGAAGAAAGAAGUUUUUAUGGACUCAAAAUGACAUGAGCUUGGGGCCAUUAUCGG